rnacentral:rRNA from 1 species
GACGAACGCUGGCGGCGUGCUUAACACAUGCAAGUCGAACGGUGAAGCGCCUUCCUUUUUGGUGGGUGUGGAUGAGUGGCGAACGGGUGAGUAACACGUGAGUAACCUGCCCCCUUCUUCUGGAUAACCGCAUGAAAGUGUGGCUAAUACGGGAUAUUCUGGGUCUGUCGCAUGAUGGGUCUGGGAAAGAUAUUGUUUCGGUGGGGGAUGGGCUCGCGGCCUAUCAGCUUGUUGGUGGGGUGAUGGCCUACCAAGGCGGUGGCGGGUAGCCGGCCUGAGAGGGUGGACGGUCACACUGGGACUGAGACACGGCCCAGUCUCCUACGAGAGGCAGCAGUGGGGAAUAUUGCACAAUGGGCGCAAGCGUGAUGCAGCGGCGCCGCGAGAGGGAUGGAGGCCUUCGGGUUGUGAACCUCUUUCGCCAGUGAAGCAGGCCUGCCUCGUUUGUGGGUGGGUUGACGGUAGCUGGAUAAGAAGCGCCGGCUAACUACGUG